rnacentral:ncRNA from 2 species
UAUUAGUUUUACAUACCUACUUAUAUAUCGUCAUAAUAUGGAUGACAGUUUCUAGCCAGUACCGUAAAUGCUGGACUAUAAGUAAAAGAUUGGCUAUU